CCACGUCCGACGGUCACCCACCGCCACGCUGUCGGUAGGAAGCGCACACCCGCACGCGCCGACGCAGAAGCACAACCUCUCAGGCACACACACAGCCGGCCAGUCGGUCCCACGUGCGGCCGAUGCCUACUGAGCAGCCAGUAAGGACCAUCGCUAUUCCGGAUGGGACAUUGCAAUGAGGAGGAGAGGCACGGCCUGCCUCCAUGGAGCUGAUGUUAUUUUAGGGAGGCAGACGGUAAUCAAAGAAACAAGAACUGUUUCUGAGGAGUUAGCAUCCCAGCUGAGGCCUGAAUUAAGGGAAGGACUCAGAAUUUUCCAGCACAGCACAAGAGAAGUUUGCUGAAGAACAAGGAAUGAAUAACUGAAUGGCAGACGGACAGACAACUGGAUUCGCAUUUACCUUCCAUAUGCACCACGGCCCUUCAACUCCAUACUCCAGGCCUUGGGAGACCCCUUUUGUGCUUAUUCUCUGAUGAUUCAACCAGUGUUCUAGGCCUCUGGGCUUUCCUGAAUAGACUUUCCUCUCUUCCUCUCUGUCUCUUUCUCA